CAGUCGCCGCGGGAAUACGGAGGGUGCAAGCGUUAAUCGGAAUUACUGGGCGUAAAGCGCACGCAGGCGGUCUGACAAGUCAGAUGUGAAAUCCCCGGGCUUAACCUGGGAACUGCAUUUGAAACUGUCAGGCUGGAGUCUUGUAGAGGGGGGUAGAAUUCCAGGUGUAGCGGUGAAAUGCGUAGAGAUCUGGAGGAAUACCGGUGGCGAAGGCGGCCCCCUGGACAAAGACUGACGCUCAGGUGCGAAAGCGUGGGGAGCAAACAGGAUUAGAUACCCGGGUAGUCCCUGUCUCUUAUAC
rnacentral:rRNA from 1 species